GAUGAACGCUGGCGGCGUGCCUAAUACAUGCAAGUCGAGCGAACAGACGAGGAGCUUGCUCCUCUGACGUUAGCGGCGGACGGGUGAGUAACACGUGGAUAACCUACCUAUAAGACUGGGAUAACUUCGGGAAACCGGAGCUAAUACCGGAUAAUAUAUUGAACCGCAUGGUUCAAUAGUGAAAGACGGUUUUGCUGGCACUUAUAGAUGGAUCCGCGCCGCAUUAGCUAGUUGGUAAGGUAACGGCUUACCAAGGCAACGAUGCGUAGCCGAACGGAGAGGGUGAUCGGCCACACUGGAACGGAGACACGGUCCAGACUCCUACGGGAGGCAGCAGUAGGGAAUCUUCCGCAAUGGGCGAAAGCUUGACGGAGCAACGCCGCGUGAGUGAUGAAGGUCUUCGGUUCGUAAAACUCUGUUAUUAGGGAAGAACAAAUGUGUAAGUAACUAUGCACGUCUUGACGGUACCUAAUCAGAAAGCCACGGCUAACUACGUG
rnacentral:rRNA from 1 species